rnacentral:lncRNA from 1 species
AGUGAUUGAGAAGAAAUCGGCAGCAACAACAAUUGUUUUUGGUGAUCUUUUACCCUCUGAAGCUAAAGGGAUGCACGUCUCAGCUCAGCAAGAGUUUCACUACGAAACCAAUUGGAGAAUGUUACCCACUCUUUCCUGGAUCCAACAAACCAGAAAACGCAGCAAAUGGCCUCCUGAUCAUCAAGAUAUUGUCAAUUCCGAUUCCUGGAUCCAACAAACCGGAAAACACAGCAAAUGGCCACCUGAUCAUCAAGAUAUUGUCAAUUCCGCAAAACAUAUCGGUUUAG